UACGGAGGGUGCAAACGUUGCUCGGAAUCAUUGGGCGUAAAGCGCACGUAGGCGGCCCGUUAAGUCGGAUGUUAAAGCCCUCGGCUCAACCGAGGAAGUGCAUUCGAAACUGGCGGGCUUGAGUACGGGAGAGGAUUGCGGAAUUCCCGGUGUAGAGGUGAAAUUCGUAGUUAUCGGGAGGAACACCAGUGGCGAAGGCGGCAAUCUGGACCGAUACUGACGCUGAGGUGCGAAAGCGUGGGGAGCAAACAGG
rnacentral:misc_RNA from 1 species